rnacentral:lncRNA from 1 species
CGUAGUUCAAAACAAAAGGAUAAAAUUUUGAACAAAAUGAUUACAAGCAAAUGAACAAUUACAAGGAAAUAACAUAAACACAAAUUGAAGCUUCACACAUAAUAUCUCUUGACAGCAUCUGAGUUGAUUGGUUUCGGCCAUUCGGUGCCAUCCAUCUCCGACAGGACCAAGGCACCUCCAGAUAAUACUUUGCGAACCAUGUAAGGUCC